rnacentral:rRNA from 1 species
CAGUAGCCGCGGGAAAACGGAGGGUGCAAGUGUUAAUCGGAAUUACUGGGCGUAAAGCGCACGCAGGCGGUUUGUUAAGUCAGAUGUGAAAUCCCCGGGCUUAACCUGGGAACUGCAUUUGAAACUGGCAGGCUAGAGUCUUGUAGAGGGGGGUAGAAUUCCAGGUGUAGCGGUGAAAUGCGUAGAGAUCGGAAGGAACAUCUGUGGCGAAGGCGACUAUCUGGGCCAACACUGACACUGAGGCACGAAAGCGUGGGGAGCAAACAGGAUUAGAUACCCGAGUAGUCCCUGUCUCUUAUAC